rnacentral:misc_RNA from 1 species
AAGUCGUAACAAGGUUUCCGUAGGUGAACCUGCGGAAGGAUCAUUAACACGUAUCCAACGUUAAAACAACCCCCGUGAACUUUCAGCUUGCUCCUGUAGCCCGUGAAAACAGCAAUCCCUGGUAAAUCAUUGUUGACCAGCUUUUGAGUCAGGGACCUCUGCCGAUUGUGAUAUUUUAUAGCUACGGUUGAGCGAUUGCAUCUAGUGACCUGGCAUCCCCAAGUAAUCAGUGUCUGAAAGUGUCAUUGAUUAUGUAAGGAUGGCGCAGUCACGAUCCCUUUACGACAACACAGUACGAAUUGGCCGCGCGUGAAAUUCGCACGGCACCAAAAACCGAACAACUGUUAACAAUGGAUAUCUUGGUUCUC